GGGGCUGUGGCUGAGUGAUAGAGCAGCUGCUUGGCAUGCAGAAGGUCCCAGGUUCAAUUUCCAGCAUCUCCA
rnacentral:tRNA from 1 species